rnacentral:rRNA from 1 species
GACGAACGCUGGCGGCGCGCCUAACACAUGCAAGUCGAACGAGCGAGAGAGAGCUUGCUUUCUCGAGCGAGUGGCGAACGGGUGAGUAACGCGUGAGGAACCUGCCUCAAAGAGGGGGACAACAGUUGGAAAUCACUGCUAAUACCGCAUAAGCUGUGAGUAUCACAUGAUACAAAUAGAAAAGGAGCAAUCCGCUGAUAGAUGAGCUUGCGUCUGAUUAGUUAGUUGGUGAGGUAACGGCCCACCAAGACGAUGAUCAGUAGCCGGACUGAGAGGUUGAACGGCCACAUUGGGACUGAGACACGGCCCAG